rnacentral:lncRNA from 1 species
GCGCGCAAAUAUACGUGCGGGCUUCGUUCCCCAUCUUUUUCAACUUGACACAUCUCUCUAUCUAGCGCGUAAAUAUACGUGCGGGCUCCAUGCUUGGCAUCGGUCUUUCUCCUCAUGCUUAGGGGGCUCUUCGUUUACUUAGCGGGACUCUUUGUUCGCUUAGCGGGAAUCUUCAUUUCGUUAGCGGGUUUUUUUUUGUUUUUGAAACGAAAUUUUUCAAACUGUUGGAGUUGAGAUUUUUUUUCUCCUUAUAUUAUUUUAGAAAUUGGCAAACUACUAGAUUUGGAAAACAAAUUUUGCCAAAAAGUUAGAGAUGCUCUAAUAGAGGUAUUUAAUUAAUAGGUAAACUUAAAUUUGAUCUGUAACAUCCGUCGUUAUCGUCGCAGCCGCGCCAUGCUGUAUUUGCCCGUUGGCUCCUCGAUAGGAUGUUGUAGUGGAGCGAGAACAAACCAGCAAACUGCAUACGAACGGGCGAGCGAGUGCCAGCAAGCAACUAGCAUACAGAUUUGUUGGGUCAUACUCACAAACGAGCAAACUGCAUGCGAACGGGCUGAGUGAGUGCCAGCAAGCAACUAGCAUACAGAUUUGUUGGCCUCGACUUAUUCUUGAGUCAUACUCCUUCGGC